CCCUAACAGUCUCUUCCUCUUCAAAGAACCUUGCCCACAAGGUGUGGGUAAAGGUUUCGAAGCUUCCACAAGGUUUCCCAGCUACUUUCCUCUGUCGGUAACCCAUUCCAUUUCACCAACACUUCAGUCACUGCUCGAUCUCCCUGUUUCUUCAUCUUCCUAUCCAAAAUCAGUUCUGGUUCCGGUUGGAUCUCACCAGAAGAAUCAGUGGGAGGGAGAUUCGGGAGGAUUGGGGUCUGAGAACCCAAUUUCUUCUUCAGACAAGACACGUGAAAUGUGGGAUGGAUCUUCAAAGACUCUGGUAGCCUUAGACGAUAGGCGAUAGUUCCGAUCUUUUCUUCCACCUGGAAAGGUCCAUAGAACCUUGGUGAUAGCUUCAGAUUCUGCCUCAAAGCUAGAGUUUUUUGACGAUAUGGUUGCAAUUUCAGGUAAACCCAAUCCCCCUUUUCAAAUACUCGUUCAGUUCUCUAUCUAUCCGCAUAAUGUUUCAUUCUAUGUUGAGCAUCAUUUAAAUUUUCUUUGAGCAAGUUUAUUACUCGGUCCCUGUUGUUGAGGAACUGAUUUGCCGCAUCAUUUGCUACUGUUCCCGGUACAUAGGACAAGAGAGUGGGUGGGGGGUAGUCGUAAACAGCCUGAUAAGGGGUCAUUUUAGUCGCCCUAUGAUAGGUUGUAUUAUACCACCAUUCAGCCAUGGGAAGCCAGUAAGACCAAACCUUAGGCUUCGAACCAGCAUAGCAACGUAAAUAGGCUUCCACACAUUUAUUCACUACUUCAGUUUGGCUAUCCGAUUGUGGGUGAUAAGCUGAACUGAAAUCAAGGGAAGACCCUUGCGCACUGAAAAUGGCCUUCCAGAAAUUACUUAAAAAAAUUGGGUCCCUAUCUGAUACCACAGACCUAGGGCACCCAUGCAGCUUAAACACAUUCUUCAUAAACUCUUCUGCCACCACUUGAGCAGUGUAGGGAUGAGCUAAGGGUAUAAAAUGCCCGUACUUAGAGAGUCGAUCAACCACCACCAAUAUUACACUGAAUCCUUUUGAAACUGGUAGACCUUCCACAAAAUCAAGAGAAAUGUCAGUCCAAGGUUGGUUGGGAAUGGGAAGUGGCUGGAGUAGUCCAGCUGGGUGAACAGUCUCGUUUUUCAUGGCUUGGCAGGGUUAAACAUUUUUAUGGGAAGGCGGAUUUCAUCUUUCAGCCCGCUUAUGAAGCAACAUAGCUUGUGUUCAUCGGAAAGGCCCCUCGACCGAUUGGCUAGGGCUUCAAAUUGUGCCGUGUAAGCCGCAAUAGAGCUGGACUGUUUCAAUCGGGUUAGUGCUUCCAUGCGACUAUCGUACGACGUUGGCCCAAAGCGGAGGAGCAUAGACCUGGUUAAUGUGUCCCAGUCAUGGAAAUGGCCCCUCUCAAAAGACUCUUGGUACCAUACUAGAGCCUCCCCCUCCAUGUGGUAAGAUGCCAUGAGCAAGUGGUGUGGCAAGGGAGUCUGAUGGAAUUCAAAGUAAUGGUGUGCUUUGAAAAUCCAUGCAGCUGGAUUUUCUCCUUGAAAGUGGGGAUAGUCUAAGCGCACACCCCUGAAAUUGCCUCUUCUUGGUUCUUGUGGUUCGUGGUCUUCAUACUGCAGCUGGCGUUGUUUCUGAUCAUUUUGUUGAUUGUUUUGCUGAUUUUGGUUGAGCUGUUGUUGUUGGUGUUGCCGAACUAUUGUGCGCAUUAUAUCAUUGAGUGUGUCGAAAUUAUGCUGAAAAUUCCUCAUGGUUUGCUGGUUUUGUUCAUUUUGCUGUUGUGUCUGCUGUUUAAGUUCCAGUAUUUGCUACUGUAACUCCUCAUGUUGUUGAGUCUUGGAUCUAGUAUUGUCUGCCA